AUUGAACGCUGGCGGAAUGCUUUACACAUGCAAGUCGAGCGGCAGCGCGGGGGCAACCCUGGCGGCGAGCGGCGAACGGGUGAGUAACAUAUCGGAACGUACCCAGUCGUGGGGGAUAACUAUCCGAAAGGAUAGCUAAUACCGCAUACGUCCUGAGGGAGAAAGCGGGGGAUCGCAAGACCUCGCGCGAUUGGAGCGGCCGAUAUCGGAUUAGCUAGUUGGUGGGGUAAAGGCUCACCAAGGCGACGAUCCGUAGCGGGUCUGAGAGGACGACCCGCCACACUGGAACUGAGACACGGUCCAGACUCCUACGGGAGGCAGCAGUGGGGGAAUUUUUGGACAAUGGGGGCGAACCCUCGAUCCAGCCACUUCCGCCGUGAGUGAAGAAGG
rnacentral:rRNA from 1 species